AGAGUUUGAUCCUGGCUCAGGACGAACGCUGGCGGCGUGCUUAACACAUGCAAGUCGAACGGAAAGGCCCUUCGGGGUACUCGAGUGGCGAACGGGUGAGUAACACGUGGGUGAUCUGCCCUGCACUUUGGGAUAAGCCUGGGAAACUGGGUCUAAUACCGAAUAUGACCAUGCGCCUCCUGGUGUGUGGUGGAAAGCUUUUGCGGUGUGGGAUGGGCCCGCGGCCUAUCAGCUUGUUGGUGGGGUAGUGGCCUACCAAGGCGACGACGGGUAGCCGGCCUGAGAGGGUGACCGGCCACACUGGGACUGAGAUACGGCCCAGACUCCUACGGGAGGCAGCAGUGGGGAAUAUUGCACAAUGGGCGCAAGCCUGAUGCAGCGACGCCGCGUGAGGGAUGACGGCCUUCGGGUUGUAAACCUCUUUCAGCACAGACGAAGCGCAAGUGACGGUAUGUGCAGAAGAAGGACCGGCCAACUACGUGCCAGCAGCCGCGGUAAUACGUAGGGUCCGAGCGUUGUCCGGAAUUACUGGGCGUAAAGAGCUCGUAGGUGGUUUGUCGCGUUGUUCGUGAAAACUCACAGCUUAACUGUGGGCGUGCGGGCGAUACGGGCAGACUUGAGUACUGCAGGGGAGACUGGAAUUCCUGGUGUAGCGGUGGAAUGCGCAGAUAUCAGGAGGAACACCGGUGGCGAAGGCGGGUCUCUGGGCAGUAACUGACGCUGAGGAGCGAAAGCGUGGGGAGCGAACAGGAUUAGAUACCCUGGUAGUCC
rnacentral:rRNA from 1 species